GCAGUGGUAGUUCAGUGGCAGAAUUCUCGCCUUCUAUUUGGGAGACUCAAGUUUGAUUCCUGACCCCUGUG
rnacentral:tRNA from 1 species